AGCAGCGUAGCUUAAGGGUAAAGCCCCAGCCUCAUAAGCUGGUCUAUGCGGGUUCAAGUCCCGCCGCUGCCACCA
rnacentral:tRNA from 2 species